rnacentral:rRNA from 1 species
GUGGAUUAGAUACCCUAGUAGUCCAUGCCGUAAACGAUGUCUACUAGCCGUUGGGGCCUUUGAGGCUUUAGUGGCGCAGCUAACGCGAUAAGUAGACCGCCUGGGGAGUACGGUCGCAAGACUAAAACUCAAAUGAAUUGACGGGGGCCCGCACAAGCGGUGGAGCAUGUGGUUUAAUUCGAUGCAACGCGAAGAACCUUACCUGGUCUUGACAUAGUAAGAACUUUCCAGAGAUGGAUUGGUGCCUUCGGGAACUUACAUACAGGUGC